rnacentral:rRNA from 1 species
AUUGAACGCUGGCGGCAUGCCUAACCCAUGCAAGUCGAGCGAGCGGCGGACGGGUGAGUAAUGUAUGGGGACUGCCCGAUAGAGGGGGAUAACUACUGGAAAAGGUAGCUAAUACCGCAUACUAUCGGAUAACCCAUAUGGGAUUAGCUAGUAGGUAAGGUAAUGGCUGACCUAGGCGACGAUCCCUAGCUGGUCUGAGAGGAUGAUCAGCCACACUGGAACUGAUACACGGCCCAGACUCCUACGGAGGCAGCAGUAGGGAAUAUUGCACAAUGGGCGAAAGGCUGAUGCAGCCAUGCCGCGUGUAUGAUGAAGGCCCUAGGGUUGUAAAGUACUUUCAGUCGGGAGGCGUUACCGACAGAAGAAGCACCGGCUAACUCCGUGCCAGCAGCCGCGGUAAUUC